GGCUCAGAGGUUAAAGCGUCUGCCUGCAAUGCAGGAGACCUGGGUUCGAUCCCUG
rfam:Ovis aries breed Texel chromosome 14, whole genome shotgun sequence.